rnacentral:lncRNA from 1 species
AAAAAACAGUGUUUAUUAUGAAAACUUAUUUGUACCCGUUAAGCAGUUCAAAAUAAAUAAAUAAACCCAUUUUAAAGAAAAUUAAAAUACUAGAGGCCUUAUUACAUAAAAAACAACCCAAAGUAAACUUUAAAAGAAAUCAGUCUAGAAUAAAAAUACUAGCGAAUGUGUGGCCACCUCCGAGUCCCUCGCAGCUCCAAAUCAACUAAGGUUGGGGAUUAC